rnacentral:rRNA from 1 species
UACGUAGGGGGCAAGCGUUGUCCGGAUUUAUUGGGCGUAAAGAGCGUGUAGGCGGCCAUACAGGUCCAUUGUGAAAACUCGAGGCUUAACCUCGAGACGUCGAUGGAAACCGUAUGGCUAGAGUCCGGAAGAGGAGAGUGGAAUUCCUGGUGUAGCGGUGAAAUGCGCAGAUAUCAGGAAGAACACCCGUGGCGAAGGCGGCUCUCUGGGACGGUACUGACGCUGAGACGCGAAAGCGUGGGAGCGAACAGG